rnacentral:lncRNA from 1 species
UUCUGUGAUUUUUGUUUUCUAAUUGAGCUCAAACUGAUAAAAAUUAUAAGAACUGACUAUAGUUAGAAAAGCCUCCUUAUCUACUCUUGAGGGAGGCCCACCAUCAUUCAUCUUCACCCUUAAGCUCUCCUGAUUCUCAACUCCCAUAUCUCAUAAGGUAGGGCAGAUUGCUGUCAGCCAAAAGCAUCAGUGACUUAUGUCUCCUCAAUGCUCUUGCUUCCUUGGAAGAUCAUAAUUUUCAUAAUAAAAAUGCACACCUUUCUUCCAAAUAAUGAACAGAACACUGGGCAUGAUGGAAAAUCUCAAUAACUUGAAAAUGAAUAUCUGUUUGCAAUGGUGUUGUAUUACCUAACCAUUACCACUUUAACCAAAUGAUCAGAUUUAGUAUCAUUAGACAUGAAAUGACAUGAUUCCAUUUUUCCAAACAAACAAACAAACAAUAAAUAAAUAAAUUGGACACAAUAUCUUUAUUUAUUUUUAUGUUGUAGGUUUAGAGAGACUUAACAUUAAAUGCAGUGCCCAAUCAAAGUUCAUGAAUUGCAUUUAAUGCAGAAAAUUUUAUUUAAGAUAUUUGGGGGGAAUUUGAAUGUGCUUGAAUUGUGGAAUUAUUGUUAAUUUCCUUUGGUAGGAUCAUGGAGUUGUAGUUAAAAGGUACACAGGGCAUAUACUAAUGCAUGAAAUGAUGUAUGUACACUAUUUUGUGGUUUGCAGUAUGUUUGUUACUUUGUUUAGUGAUAUGUGUAUGAGAUAUUGUAGUAGUUAGUGUUUGUUAAGAAAAUAACUUUUUCUUAGGAGAUAUGUUUAGACAUGUUUGGUAGUGAAGUAACAUGAUACUUAGAUUAUUUUGAAAUGGUAGAGUCAGAGAAUCAGAAGUGGCAAAUCAUUAAUGGUGAAUCUAGG